rnacentral:lncRNA from 1 species
AAAAUGGAUCUUCAUCGGAACAUGUAUGCUUUUGUUUUCACUUUUUUUGUGAAAUUUAGGCUGGUUCUGUAAGUAUUUUUUUUGUUUAAUUUUUCCCCUGAUUAGAAGGAGAAAAUGAGAAGAAGCAUAAGCAGAUGAAGAGAAAAGUAUGGAUCUUCAGCCUAAUCAGGUCUAUAAGUUUCUUUUUAAUUUUAAUUUAAGCAGUUUUUGUAAGGUUUUAUUUUAGUUCCAAAUAUAUUUUUAUCUGAGUUUUUGAAAUGAAAAUGAGGUGAAGCAAAUGAAGGGAAAGAACAAAUCUUUAGUUUGAUUCAAUGCUGCAAGUUUUUUCUGUUAUUUUUUCUUUGUAACUUGAGCAGUUUUCUAAGUUUCUUUCUUGUUUGCCUUUUUUUUUUAUUUUUGACUUUCUAUUAUUGAUUCUGAAGCAAAAAAGAAAGAAGAAAUAAUAAAAUUACAUAGUCCUAAGCGAUUUUUUUUUUUUUUGGAAAAGUUUUGUGUGAGUUGCAUUUAUGGUUGUAGAAUUAGUUAUUAGAAUGAUUGAAAAAUUGGAUUUUGAUCGACUCAUUAUAGAUAGUAAGAGCUUGAAAGUAAAAUUGGAUUUCUACUAUUGCUUUAGGUAGAAUAAUUUCAAAUGUAUUACACUUUGAAUAUGUCUGAAGAUCUAAGUUUUAUUUGAUUGAACUGUUCCACUAAUGCUGCAUUAUCCUGCUGGGUUUAAUUAUUCUUGCUGCCUUUGGUUAAGAUUGUCUUUGUUGCUUUUUCGGUUCUUGAGAUAUUCCUUUUCUUUUGUUUAUAAACAUUAAAUUACCUCUCGUGCACUUGGAAGUGUGAAGAUGCUUAUGGGUUAUUUGCAUUGAUAUCAUCAAGAAAUUUUGUCAAAUCUCAUUGCUUUUGGUUUCUCUUGAGGUACUGUCUUGUCCUUUUACUGAUUUAUUUGCUUAUUUUGACUUUCGGACUAUUAUUAUAAGAUUGGUAUAAAUUGCUUUGUUUUUUUUUUCAAAAGUUUGAUGUUUCUGAUUAGAAUUAAGUGUUCCAUAGAAAUUCAAAUUCCUAUGAUAUUUUCUUUAGGAUUUUUUUGGUAAUCUGGUUUAUGACAUAGUUUCUUGUCUGUAGCUUUUAACUUGGAGUUUCAUCUAUAGAGAGUUUUUCUAAACCCAUUGUUCACUGCUGGAUAGGUAUUUGCUUUCGGCCUUUCAUGGGAACGAGAGUAGAGUCUGAAUGAAGUUGGAGCUCUCUGAUGCUAUUAGUCAUUGAAAGUCUAGAAUCAUUUUGCUUGUGGCCAAUUAGAAAUACUUUUUUCUUUUCUUUGUCAAUUUGUUCAAUUGGCACUGGUAUAGGUUUAGUCUCGCUAAGUAGAUUUUCUCUUUAUACUGCAUGUAUAUACAUUUUAUUAUUCGUUUGAAUAUAUUGUAAAAGAAACUUAUUGC